CCGUGAGGGGGAUGAUGUAUUACUAUGAAGCUCUCGAGAUGCUGACUUUUCUUGAAUCCGCAUCUGAAGAGGAAUUGGUUGCUG